UGUUAUAAAACUAUUUUAGGCUCUAUAUGAAUGCAUGACAUUGAAUGAGAAUUGUCCGAAUAAUCACUUAAAGACGGUGUUCUACGUGGGUUCAAUUAUGAUCGGACUGAAUUGGCAUUCGACCUAACUCUCACUAUGCCUUGUUUAAUUAGCCAAAACAUCCAAUUCAACUCUAAAUAUCUUCAUUACACUUCCAAUAUUCUAAAUACACCAAAGUACCUCAAUGAGCUUAAUUGUGACUUAAUUCACCGUAAUCGAAAUUCAUUCCGAUUUCAAUAUCCGAUACCAUAAAUCAUCAAU
rnacentral:lncRNA from 1 species